AAGGGUAUAGCUCAGUGGUAGAGACCAUGCUUAGCAUGCACGAGGUCCUGGGUUCAAUCCCCAGUACCUCCA
rfam:Camelus ferus unplaced genomic scaffold scaffold199, whole genome shotgun sequence.